GCACGAUGAUGGCGGAUCUGAGUU
rnacentral:miRNA from 1 species